rnacentral:rRNA from 1 species
GAUCAUGGCUCAGGAUGAACGCUAGCUACAGGCUUAACACAUGCAAGUCGAGGGGCAGCAUUGGAGUAGCAAUACUUCAGAUGGCGACCGGCGCACGGGUGAGUAACACGUAUCCAACCUGCCGCUUACUCGGGGAUAGCCUUUCGAAAGAAAGAUUAAUACCCGAUGGUAUAAAGAGUUCGCAUGUUCUCUUUAUUAAAGAAUUUCGGUAAGCGAUGGGGAUGCGUUCCAUUAGAUUGUUGGCGGGGUAACGGCCCACCAAGUCUACGAUGGAUAGGGGUUCUGAGAGGAAGGUCCCCCACAUUGGAACUGAGACACGGUCCAAACUCCUACGGGAGGCAGCAGUGAGGAAUAUUGGUCAAUGGACGAGAGUCUGAACCAGCCAAGUAGCGUGAAGGAUGACUGCCCUAUGGGUUGUAAACUUCUCUUAUAAGGGAAUAAAGUGAGGGACGUGUCCCUUUUUGUAUGUACCUUAUGAAUAAGGAUCGGCUAACUCCGUGCCAGCAGCAGC